CCUACGGGAGGCUGCAGUGAGGAAUAUUGGUCAAUGGGCGCGAGCCUGAACCAGCCAAGUCGCGUGAGGGAUGACGGCCCUACGGGUUGUAAACCUCUUUUGCCUGGGAGUAACGGGCGCCACGUGUGGCGCCACUUAGAGUACCCGGCGAAAAAGCAUCGGCUAACUCCGUGCCAGCCGCCGCGGUAAUACGGAGGAUGUGAGCUUUAUCCGGAUUUAUUUGGUUUAAAGGGUGCGGAGGCGGAUCGUUUAGUUCUUGGUCAAAUUGAGGGGCUCAACCCGUUCCCGCCGUUGAAACUGGAGGUCUUGAGUGGAAGAGAGGUAGGCGGAAUGCGUGGUGUAGCGGUGAAAUGCAUAGAUAUCACGCAGAACCCCGAUUGCGAAGGCA
rnacentral:rRNA from 1 species